UUAAUGUGGCUGAAAAAGUAAUAAACUGUAAAUUUAUACAUGAAUAAUUAUUCCUUUAACAU
rnacentral:tRNA from 1 species